GCUGCACUCAGUCUUGGCACCAGGGAACUGAACUGGGGCAAAGGGGUGGGGAAGAGGGUGGAGAUGCCCCUGGAGGUCUGAAGAGGGUGGGUCUCAGGGAAGGAGUCUGCAGUGGACAGGAGGAGACAGGUCGGCAGUGGAAGGGUCUGUGCAAAACUGUCCUGUUGUCUUAGAACCCCCUACUCACUGUCUGGUUGGCUGAUGGGAGAGUGCCGUGGUGGGCUUGGGGACACAGUUAGGACUAGGGCUCUGUCGUAAGCUCCUCAGGGGUUUGACAAGCUUGCUGUCCUUCCCACUUCCCCUGUUCUCACACUUCUUGGCAACACAGGCACUGUCUCUUAGCGACAGGGUUUUGGGGGAGCCAUGGCCCCCACCAUGCUGCCUGUGGGAUGCAUGCACAGCACCCUCCCCCAGCAGAGUCACCAAGCCUCAGGCAGCAGCAGACAGGGGUACGCCGGCCCGAGUUCAUGGCUGGACAGCCCAUCUCUCUGUGCCUGUCCAGACCUCAGGGUGAAGCUAUCUGAUCCAUGCCAUGCUUCCUGAACGCCCGAGAAUGGACCAGCUGGCCGGGCUGCCUACAGAGAGCACAGCUGCUGUUGGCAUCGCCUCGGGUCCAGUACACCCACAUUGCUACACGCGUGCAGGACUUUGACAGUGAUCGUUUCUGCCUAGGUGUAUUCGAGCAAAGAGGAACUGAAGGAGGAGAAGGAACAAGGAGGCUCCGGGUCAGGAGCACCAGCAGCACUGAGCUAGGUGGACUGGGUGCUACGUAGGCCUCGGGUUGGCCGUUUCACAAUACACUAACUGUCCCUCGCUUUAGUCAGUGGUGGUGCCUACAUCCAGACGAAAUGAAGGGGGCUAACGAAGGUCAGGCAGAAGGGGGCAUAUUCAUACUCCUGAUUACAUCCUCGUCCGCGUCUCUGAGGAGGCUGUGUUCUGCUUUCGGGAGGUGAUUCCCGGUAUACGUGUAAUACCCCGGAGUAUAUACCUAGCUAUUGGCCACCGUGACCUCCUGUACUCCAUUUCGGCCCCCAGAUUUCUAGGGCAAAGACCAGUCAGACCCUAAAUAGCAUGGCUGCAAUAGUUAAAGAUUUAUCCCUUGUAA